GACGAACGCUGGCGGUGUGCUUCACACAUGCAAGUCGAACGAGGUAGCAAUACCUAGUGGCGGACGGGUGAGUAACACGUGGGAAUCUGCCUUUAGAUGGGGAAUAACGAGCCGAAGGUUCGCUAAUACCGCAUAUGUGUACGCCUCGACAGGGGUGUACAUGAAAGGAGUAAUCUGUCUGAAGAUGAGCCCGCGUCCGAUUAGCUAGUUGGUAGGUAAAAGCCUACCAAGGCGACGAUCGGUAGCUGGUCUGAGAGGAUGAUCAGCCACAAUGGGACUGAGACACGGCCCAUACUCCUACGGGAGGCAGCAGU
rnacentral:rRNA from 1 species